rnacentral:rRNA from 1 species
GCUCCUUUGACGUUAGCGGCGGACGGGUGAGUAACACGUGGAUAACCUACCUAUAAGACUGGGAUAACUUCGGGAAACCGGAGCUAAUACCGGAUAACAUAUUGAACCGCAUGGUUCAAUAGUGAAAGGCGGCUUUGCUGUCACUUAUAGAUGGAUCCGCGCCGUAUUAGCUAGUUGGUAAGGUAACGGCUUACCAAGGCAACGAUACGUAGCCGACCUGAGAGGGUGAUCGGCCACACUGGAACUGAGACACGGUCCAGACUCCUACGGGAGGCAGCAGUAGGGAAUCUUCCGCAAUGGGCGAAAGCCUGACGGAGCAACGCCGCGUGAGUGAUGAAGGUCUUCGGAUCGUAAAACUCUGUUAUCAGGGAAGAACAAAUGUGUAAGUAACUGUGCACAUCUUGACGGUACCUGAUCAGAAAGCCACGGCUAACUACGUGCCAGCAGCCGCGGUAAUACGUAGGUGGCAAGCGUUAUCCGGAAUUAUUGGGCGUAAAGCGCGCGUAGGCGGUUUUUUAAGUCUGAUGUGAAAGCCCACGGCUCAACCGUGGAGGGUCAUUGGAAACUGGAAAACUUGAGUGCAGAAGAGGAAAGUGGAAUUCCAUGUGUAGCGGUGAAAUGCGCAGAGAUAUGGAGGAACACCAGUGGCGAAGGCGACUUUCUGGUCUGUAACUGACGCUGAUGUGCGAAAGCGUGGGGAUCAAACAGGAUUAGAUACCCUGGUAGUCCACGCCGUAAACGAUGAGUGCUAAGUGUUAGGGGGUUUCCGCCCCUUAGUGCUGCAGCUAACGCAUUAAGCACUCCGCCUGG